rnacentral:rRNA from 1 species
GAACGAACGCUGGCGGCAGGCUUAACACAUGCAAGUCGAACGCCCCGCAAGGGGAGUGGCAGACGGGUGAGUAACGCGUGGGAAUCUACCGUGCCCUGCGGAAUAGCUCCGGGAAACUGGAAUUAAUNCCGCAUACGCCCUACGGGGGAAAGAUUUAUCGGGGUAUGAUGAGCCCGCGUUGGAUUAGCUAGUUGGUGGGGUAAAGGCCUACCAAGGCGACGAUCCAUAGCUGGUCUGAGAGGAUGAUCAGCCACAUUGGGACUGAGACACGGCCCAAACUCCUACGGGAGGCAGCAGUGGGGAAUAUUGGACAAUGGGCGCAAGCCUGAUCCAGCCAUGCCGCGUGAGUGAUGAAGGCCUUAGGGUUGUAAAGCUCUUUCACCGGAGAAGAUAAUGACGGUAU